GCUCAUUACAACAGCCACCGUUUACUAGAAUAUAGUUAUCUUACUUGGAUAACUGUGGCAAUUCUAGAGCUAAUACAUGCAAAAAAGCUCUGCCCGCAAGGAACGAGCGCAUUUAUUAGAAUAAAAACCAAUCGGGCUUCGGCUCGUAAUUUGGUGAAUCUGAAUAACUUUGCCAAUCGCACAGUCCUAGUACUGGCGAUGUAUCUUUCAAGUGUCUGCCUUAUCAACUUUCGAUGGUAGGUUAUACGCCUACCAUGGUAGUAACGGGUAACGGAGAAUAAGGGUUCGACUCCGGAGAGGGAGCCUGAGAAACGGCUACCACAUCCAAGGAAGGCAGCAGGCGCGCAAAUUACCCACUUCCAGAACGGAGAGGUAGUGACGAAAAAUAACGAGACAGUCCUCUUCGAGGUCUGUCAUCGGAAUGGGUACAAUUUAAAUCCUUUAACGAGGAUCUAUUGGAGGGCAAGUCUGGUGCCAGCAGCCGCGGUAAUUCCAGCUCCAAUAGCGUAUAUUAAAGUUGUUGCGGUUAAAACGCUCGUAGUUGGAUUUGCGGCCUCGGAGAACGGUCCCCCGAAAGGGUGGUUACUGUCUUUCCUAGCCUAAUUUCGAGUCGUCUUUAGGUGCUCUUUACCGGGUGCUUAGAGUGACUAGAACGUUUACUUUGAAAAAAUUAGAGUGCUUAAAGCAGGCGAAAUAGCCUGAAUAAGGUGCAUGGAAUAAUGGAAUAGGACCUCGGUUCUAUUUUGUUGGUUUUCGGAACCCGAGGUAAUGAUUAAGAGGAACAGACGGGGGCAUUCGUAUUCCGGCGCUAGAGGUGAAAUUC
rnacentral:rRNA from 1 species